ensembl:lncRNA
UAACGCUGCAGCAUUCAAGUCCAGCCGUGACAACAGCUCUUUGCCAGAACGUCUGCUUACCAGCGACUUCACUGCAGCCUUCACCACCUUCUCUCCGAUUCAGAUACAUUCACUCACUCCACCUGCCUGCCUCCCUGCUCACAAAUCUGUCUGAGAGCUGCUCCUGGCCAGCUCAGACACUCCUGCCUGUGUUUACUCUCCACUCUGGGACUCCAUUUUCCUGACCUCCUACCAUUUAGUUAUAGCAUCCAUUUCAUAGUGGCUUGUCACGUAUCAUUGCUCAUAGAAGUACAAAUUGUCAUUAAUGUUAAUGUGUUAAUACACUCAGUGCUUCUUGCUCACAGUUGAAUUGUACUUCGUAGUGUAAAUAUUCAAUGUUUAGCUCACAUUUCAUGUUCGUACUGUCUUUCCCCUGUAUAUAGCCCUGCCCCACUCCUUAGUGUUAAAGUGUGUAGUCGUGUCACCCAGUAUUGUAUAUAGACACUGCCUCACAUGCACAAGCAUUGUAUUCAAACAUCACUUUCAUUAUUAAAACUAAUUUUCACACGC